GAAUUCGUUGCUGGGGAUCUGCUCUUACAUUCCCCUUCCUGCCCCCCCCCAACCCACAGGAAGAACCCGUCGGCCCCCAUCCCCUGCAUACCCCACACAUCCUGUAUGACAGCGGUUCGAAACCUGGGCUUAUGUGUCCGUGGACGUCUCUAAUGCGUCUCCGCGGCCCCGGUUCUGCAUGCGGCGCGCGGGGAGCCCUCCAAAUGAGUGAAUACGGAUGUGGGAGCCUGCACGGUGCCAUCUACGGAACUUACUACGCUCCAAACGCUAAACCUUCCAAUCGUGUAAGGAAUAGAUCGUCAGCUCCAUCAUACCGAAGAAGAAACUGGAACUGAGAGGGAAGACGGCUUAGCCGAGGUCACUCAGCUGGUAAGACGGUGAGCUGAGAUGCGAACUCGGGUCUGGGCCACUUGCAGUUCAGCAGGCUUCCCCAAGCUCCUUCCCCUUCUCCUCCAAACGUGCACCGUCCCGCACCAAGUGUGCAGAGAGGAGGCACUCUGGGCAGCUGAAUCCCUCAACAGCUGGAGCUGGCACCCCGUUGUCCAGAUCCAAGUCAGACACUGCACAAUCCGGACUCCUCUGGCCAGCUGAAGUCCUCCUCUUAGGAGCCUAGGAUCCUGCUGGCUUUGAAAAACUGCUACUCUGCCAAGAGACUGUUGAGGUCAAGUUCGUUCUUUCUUUCUUUUCUUUUCUUUUUUUCUUUUCUUUCUUUCUUUCUUUCUUUCUUUCUUUCUUUCUUUCUUUCUUUUUUUUUCUUUUUCCUUUUUUUUUAGAUUUUUUUUUUUAUUCAUGAGACACACAGAGAGAGAAGCAGAGAUACAGGCAGAGGGAGAAGCAGGAUCCCUGCAGGAGCCCAAUGGGGGACUCGAUCCCGGGACCCCAGGAUCACACCCUGAGCUGAAGGGAGACGCUCAGCCACUGAGCCACCCGGGCGUUCCUGUUGAGGUCAAUUUCUAAACAUGCGUGGGGUAGAGACAGGAAUGAAAGAGACCUAAGUUCUUCAUUUCACCCCAACAGAUUGUCUCAUCGACAGGGAAGGGGUUCUGACCAUCAAGAGUCUACUCCCCCCAACUGAGGGAAAACAGAAAAGAGCUCACAUCUACUAUCUCAACCCAUAAGCUAGGAUAUGCUUUGAGAGGGAGCAUGGUGGGGCGGAGGGGGGUGGGUAGCCUGGGUGGCUCAGUUGGUUGCACAUCCGACUCUUGAUUUAGGCUCAAGUCAUGACCUCAGGGUGGUGAGAUGGAGCCCUGCAUCAGGCUCCAUGCUCAGCAGGGAGUCUGCUUGCGAUUCUCUCCUGCCUCUCCCUAGCUUGCUUGUUUGCUGACAAAAUCUUUAACAAAAAAGGAGGGCAGCUCGGGUGGCUCAGCGGUUUAGCACCGCCAUCAGCCCAAGGCCUGAUCCCGGAGACCCGGGAUCGAGUCCUACAUAGGGCUCGCUGCAUGGAGGCUGCCGCUCUCUAUGUAUCUCUCAUGAAUAAAUAAAUAAAAUCUUAAAAAUAUAAAAAGGAGCCCUGGAAUUAUACCCACUAUGAGGAUUCUCCUUACUUUAUAAAUUAAAAAUGAACCCAGGAAAAAUG
rnacentral:lncRNA from 1 species